rnacentral:misc_RNA from 1 species
AAGUAAAAUGUUGUGGGGAUGAUAAAUUACUAUACAUGACAAGGUUGGAGAUUAGCCAAAGCCAACAAUGUUAAAUUGCCAACGCUCUUCUUUUCACUUCUUAGUGAUGGUUUCGUCUCAACACCGAAAAUAAUCCUCCACUCUUCUCCUUUCGUCGUUCGUCGCCGUCUUCAGCUACUUCCUUACUUAUCUGCAACAAUAUAUCGAUAAUUUCACAGAAGUCAGGCCUGCAUGUUGGAUCUUGCUGCCAACAUUUU